rnacentral:rRNA from 1 species
CCUACGGGGAGCAGCAGUAGGGAAUCUUCCACAAUGGGCGAAAGCCUGAUGGAGCAACGCCGCGUGGGUGAAGAAGGUCUUCGGAUCGUAAAACCCUGUUGUUAGAGAAGAAAGUGCGUGAGAGUAACUGUUCACGUGUCGACGGUAUCUAACCAGAAAGCCACGGCUAACUACGUGCCAGGAGCCGCGGUAAUACGUAGGUGGCAAGCGUUAUCCGGAUUUAUUGGGCGUAAAGGGAACGCAGGCGGUCUUUUAAGUCUGAUGUGAAAGCCUUCGGCUUAACCGGAGUAGUGCGUUUGAAACUGGGAGACUUGAGUGCAGAAGAGGAGAGUGGAACUCCAUGUGUAGCGGUGAAAUGCGUAGAUAUAUGGAAGAACACCAGUGGCGAAAGCGGCUCUCUGGUCUGUAACUGACGCUGAGGUUCGAAAGCGUGGGUAGCAAACAGGAUUAGAUACCCCGGUAGUC